GAUGAACGCUGGCGGCGUGCCUAAUACAUGCAAGUCGAGCGAACGGACGAGGAGCUUGCUCCUUUGACGUUAGCGGCGGACGGGUGAGUAACACGUGGAUAACCUACCUAUAAGACUGGGAUAACUUCGGGAAACCGGAGCUAAUACCGGAUAAUAUAUUGAACCGCAUGGUUCAAUAGUGAAAGACGGUUUUGCUGUCACUUAUAGAUGGAUCCGCGCCGCAUUAGCUAGUUGGUAAGGUAACGGCUUACCAAGGCAACGAUGCGUAGCCGACCUGAGAGGGGGACCGGGACGAGAAGGACUGGAGAGAGGGCCAGGGGGGUACGGGGGGAAGCAUGGGGGAACAUUACAAAAUGGGCGGAAGGGAGAAGGAACAGAGCCCAGGGCGGGACGACGGCCUACGGGAUGUAAAACACUGCCGCAGGCGACGAACCGGGAGGGAAGGGAAUAGGGAAAGAAGCAACGGCUAACUACGUG
rnacentral:rRNA from 1 species